rnacentral:rRNA from 1 species
AAAUUGAAGAGUUUGAUCAUGGCUCAGAUUGAACGCUGGCGGCAGGCCUAACACAUGCAAGUCGAACGGUAACAGGAAGCAGCUUGCUGCUUCGCUGACGAGUGGCGGACGGGUGAGUAAUGUCUGGGAAACUGCCUGAUGGAGGGGGAUAACUACUGGAAACGGUGGCUAAUACCGCAUAACGUCGCAAGACCAAAGAGGGGGACCUUCGGGCCUCUUGCCAUCAGAUGUGCCCAGAUGGGAUUAGCUUGUUGGUGAGGUAACGGCUCACCAAGGCGACGAUCCCUAGCUGGUCUGAGAGGAUGACCAGCCACACUGGAACUGAGACACGGUCCAGACUCCUACGGGAGGCAGCAGUGGGGAAUAUUGCACAAUGGGCGCAAGCCUGAUGCAGCCAUGCCGCGUGUAUGAAGAAGGCCUUCGGGUUGUAAAGUACUUUCAGCGGGGAGGAAGGUGUUGUGGUUAAUAACCGCAGCAAUUGACGUUACCCGCAGAAGAAGCACCGGCUAACUCCGUGCCAGCAGCCGCGGUAAUACGGAGGGUGCAAGCGUUAAUCGGAAUUACUGGGCGUAAAGCGCACGCAGGCGGUCUGUCAAGUCGGAUGUGAAAUCCCCGGGCUCAACCUGGGAACUGCAUUCGAAACUGGCAGGCUUGAGUCUUGUAGAGGGGGGUAGAAUUCCAGGUGUAGCGGUGAAAUGCGUAGAGAUCUGGAGGAAUACCGGUGGCGAAGGCGGCCCCCUGGACAAAGACUGACGCUCAGGUGCGAAAGCGUGGGGAGCAAACAGGAUUAGAUACCCUGGUAGUCCACGCCGUAAACGAUGUCUACUUGGAGGUUGUGCCCUUGAGGCGUGGCUUCCGGAGCUAACGCGUUAAGUAGACCGCCUGGGGAGUACGGCCGCAAGGUUAAAACUCAAAUGAAUUGACGGGGGCCCGCACAAGCGGUGGAGCAUGUGGUUUAAUUCGAUGCAACGCGAAGAACCUUACCUGGUCUUGACAUCCACAGAACUUUCCAGAGAUGGAUUGGUGCCUUCGGGAACCGUGAGACAGGUGCUGCAUGGCUGUCGUCAGCUCGUGUUGUGAAAUGUUGGGUUAAGUCCCGCAACGAGCGCAACCCUUAUCCUUUGUUGCCAGCGGUCCGGCCGGGAACUCAAAGGAGACUGCCAGUGAUAAACUGGAGGAAGGUGGGGAUGACGUCAAGUCAUCAUGGCCCUUACGACCAGGGCUACACACGUGCUACAAUGGCGCAUACAAAGAGAAGCGACCUCGCGAGAGCAAGCGGACCUCAUAAAGUGCGUCGUAGUCCGGAUUGGAGUCUGCAACUCGACUCCAUGAAGUCGGAAUCGCUAGUAAUCGUGGAUCAGAAUGCCACGGUGAAUACGUUCCCGGGCCUUGUACACACCGCCCGUCACACCAUGGGAGUGGGUUGCAAAAGAAGUAGGUAGCUUAACCUUCGGGAGGGCGCUUACCACUUUGUGAUUCAUGACUGGGGUGAAGUCGUAACAAGGUAACCGUAGGGGAACCUGCGGUUGGAUCACCUCCUUACCUUAAAGAAGC